rnacentral:lncRNA from 1 species
CAAGUAAACAUGUACACAUGUACAUAUGACAUGUGUACAUGUGUAUGUUAUGAAGCGGUGUAUGCAACCAUGUGUGUACGUAAUAAAUCAGGGGGUAUAUAUGCACACAAAUCAUACAUAUCCCCCAACAGUUCAAAUAUACAAAUCGUUGCUUAUUCACAUUACAGUUUUUUUUUCAUUUAAUCUUCCACCAAAAGACGUAUAUUUCAAUUUUUUCACUAACCAUAAUGUACACAAUGAUACUAAACCCACCAAAUCUCUAAUGUGUCUUUAUCUAUCAAACAAAACGU